AUUGCUUUUCGGCCUUUUGGCUAAGAUCAAGUGUACUAUCUGUUCUUAUCAGUGCCUAAGGGCUAAUAAGUAUAAGUGAACAAUUCUGAGUCUGGGUUUAAAGGGUCAUGGUACAAGUAAGCAUCCAUAAGGGGAUACUUAGAGGGAUCAUGUUUGGGUUACGGAAGAUAACCCAAAGGCUA